rnacentral:lncRNA from 1 species
CUCAUCAUAUUUGUUUAGUGGAAGACAAAUGUUAAGCUCUGACAGUGUGUUGAAACUUGUGUGGCCACUAGAGAAGUGGUGGAGUCACCAUCCAUCCUUGGAGUUGCUCAAGAACUGUGAAGAUGUGGCACUGAAAGUUUAGUAAGCAUGGUGGAGUGGGUUGGUGGUUGGACUUGAUGAUCUUAUAGGUCUUUUCCAGCCUUAAUGAUUCUAUGAUUCUAUUAAAUGGUUGCGGCCACUAAUAUCUUUAUCUUUCCUCCUAGCCAUGCAUGCUGGUUUGACCAGGGGAGCCAUGCAGCUCAGGACAUGAAGCACAAAGCCAUCUACACAAGAGAGAAGCUGCUCUGUUCUCCUGGAAGGCUGCCCUUAGGCCAGUUUCCCAAGGGCUUCUUGGUCUAUGGAAGUGCCAAAUAACUAAGCUGCACUUUACAGAACAGCUGGGCAAGGACUGAAGUUGGACUUUUUAAACCAUGGCUUCUAUUUCCUGAAUAAAUCUUUAACUAUCAGGGAAGUCUCA